rnacentral:rRNA from 1 species
CAUUUCACCUCCUUCAUCCGAGAUUACCCGCUGAACUUAAGCAUAUCAAUAAGCGGAGGAAAAGAAACCAACAGGGAUUGCCUCAGUAACGGCGAGUGAAGCGGCAAAAGCUCAAAUUUGAAACCCUCGGGAUUGUAAUUUGAAGAUUUGGCAUUGGAGAAAGCUAACCCAAGUUGCUUGGAAUAGUACGUCAUAGAGGGUGACAACCCCGUCUGGCUAACCGUUCUCCAUGUAUUGCCUUAUCAAAGAGUCGAGUUGUUUGG